GUAGCUCAACGGUAGAGCACUACCCUCUCAAGGUAGGGGUCGAAAGACCUCCAUGGCUUCCUCACUCGGGCGCUGAGCCUAUUUCCUCCGAGACCUUCCGAGCGGGGCCCCA
rnacentral:tRNA from 1 species